GCCGGACGGGACGCGGAGCUACUGGCCCUUUAAAGGGCCGAAGGGACGGAGAAGCGUCUGGUUCGUGGCCCACGUGCGCGGUGCCCACAGCAAAGUUCACCGAACUAGAAUUCUUUCGGGUCUAGACGUCGAGGGCCGAUAAGAGCAAAAGAGGGUAAACAACGUUUCCAUGGAAACAGGAAGUGGCAGGAAUCCCAAGAAAAUGGCUGCCGUGUUGUGAAUGGAGACAACCCCAUCCAUGUGUGUUUACUCUGUGCGUGGCUAUAUAAAUAGCUACUGCUGGUUUAAAUUUUUCCUGUGAAAGGAUUCCACGGGCCAAGAAUAAAAUAAACACAGCCAUGGCUUCA